rnacentral:rRNA from 1 species
ACGUAGGCAGCGAGCGUUGUUCGGAGUUACUGGGCGUAAAGCGUGCGUAGGCGGUUUUGUAAGUUUGGUGUGAAAUCUCCUGGCUCAACUGGGAGGGUGCGCCGAAAACUGCAAGGCUGGAGUGUGGGAGAGGUAGGCGGAAUUCCUGGUGUAGCGGUGAAAUGCGUAGAUAUCAGGAGGAACACCUGUGGUGUAGACGGCUUACUGGACCAUGACUGACGCUGAGGCACGAAAGCGUGGGGAGCAAACAGGA